CAAUCAUCAGGUGUUGGCCAGAAUGAUUCCUGGGUGCUUUGUCACCCAAGCCUCUCCUACAGAGAAGUUCUAGAAUUUUCACUCAGGUGUUGGCAGAUACAUCCACCCAAGAGAGGAAUGAAGAAGAGACAUGAAAGAAAGAAGAAACAUGAAACCAGGUCAACUUGUGAUGAGGAUUGCAUGUUCAAUGUGAGAAGUAGUUUUUUAUUUUGUCCAUUAUCCUUAGCAGGCAAGCAUUUGUUUUUUCAUUUUUUUUCCUGUUAAUAUUUUUUUAGGUUGAAGCAGGAGGAGGACUUGUAAGAACAGAAUAAGGCUGUUUAGAAAUCUCAAUUCUGUUGGCUGCUUCAAAUGCACAUCAACCUCAGGGUGGUUUGAACUCCUAAUUCCAUAUGCUUUAUAAAGAUUACAAAGGUGAGCACUCUGUGAGACUUCAGAAACAGGGCCCAAUUUUUAUACAUUUAUGAAGUACAAAGAGGUUAUAAAUUAGCACUAGAUGCCUUCCUAUUAUCACAAUCACUCUUGAAGUCAGUAUUUUUUUGAUCCCCAAUUUGAAGACAAGAAAAUCGUGGCUCAGAGAAGUACAGUAACUUGCUCUAAGUUCACAGCUGGCAAGUGCGGGAUUCUGAAACAGAUCUGUGACACUCCAAAGCCCAGAUUUUACUUAGCAAUUUUAGGAACCUGGCUUUCCAUAUGAGUGAAACAGCAUUCCUAAAUGUAGGAUGUUGUCCACAAGUCUAAGAUUAGACAGACAUCUGGACGUCCUAUCUCCCAGAACCACUGUGUAGAGCGGCAUUGCAAAGUGGCCGAUACCCUCUGCUUCCAAGGCCGGUAGACAUAAUUAUUCACCCUACCUCGAGGCUCAGUCCUCACAUGUCCUCCACAGGUACUGUGAAGAAUCUGCUCAGGGAUGGGUUCCUCUUUUGUGUUUCUCUCUUCUGGUCCUGCUUCUUGUGCUGCUUUAAUUUAACACCUGAUCCCCACUCCACCUUUGGCCCCUGCAGAAUGCUCCAUCUCACUCCUGCAUCUAGAUCUCAGCCUCCCAGCUCUUCAGAAUCAACCUCUUGCCCGGCAAUUGUCCAGCUUCAGUAUUGGAGCACUCACUCCAGCUCAGUCUUGGACUCUGUUUAGGGAUUGCCUAAUCACACUCUAUUUCACGUACCACAUUCCCACACGUGUUACGUAUUCUGUUUCAUGUCUAAUGCUUGAAUUCAGAGCCACAGCCCCAGAACAAUGGACCAUAUGUAGUCUUCACAUUUUACAUGUGAGUCUUCCACGCAGCCCUUCAGGCUUGCCUGGAUUCCCUCCUCCAGUCUUGUCCUCUAUGCUUUCCCAGCCAAACAUGCAGUUCCGGAUGCAGCUGCAUCUAAAAGUGUAACCAGAGCAGCAAAACCGAUCAGGCAUGCGCAUGCCAACUAUGACAUUCAAGCUUAUGUGGGUGGUGGAGAAGGCUAGAGAGAGAGUUCUUGUUUCGACCCUUGUAUACUCAAGAUGGGAGAUGCUGACUGGCCUUCCAAGUAGUUGGAGCACAUAGUGCUUCUUCAGCCUCACACAAGAGGCUUCAUUCUCAAGAAACUCAUUUGGAGUGCAGUGAGAGUUAUCGCACACAGACAUCUUCUAAGGACACAGAGUGAGGUAGGCUGGCGAGAGGUGAUUUGGAAGGUAGCCUCUUGCAGUGAGUUUAAAUUGUUCUCUAGACCAGCUGCAUCUCUCUUCUUUUGAGGCUUCACAGAAAAUUGUCCCAUGAAACCAGGAAGUAGGCCAAUCCCAAACUAUAAUCGCAAAGAAGACAACCAGAGGAGACCUCUAACCCUGGAAGUCUUGGGCAGAGGAUAGAGUUCUCUAAGAAUGGGCAAAAACUGGCGGGACAAAGCAGCAAGGCCAAGCAUAGAGGUGGGGUAUGGGAUGGCUUUUGUUCAUUUAUUGAGUGAUUGAUUGACAACAAAGAGCGUCAAGCAAUGUAAAAAUGAACAAGAAAAUAUGCAAGCACCCCAUAUGUGCAGGAAGUAGGCUGCCACGGUAGGGCAGAGGAGAAGGGUGUCCAGCAGUUCUGCAGCUGUAGCCCUUGGUCAGCUGAAGACAAAUGCAUAUGAAAUGGUCAUGCAAUUGUCCUGUGACAUAGGAGUUCCCAAGCUGGAAAUACUUUCUGCUUUCUCUGGGUACAAAGCUAUGCUUCUGGGAAGAGUGCUGGUGAGGGAUGUUCUUAGGAACCUACGUUAAAGGUGAGCUGCCCCAUUGCCACUCUUUUUUUCCCCACAUAGUAUUUCUCCAAAGAGGCAGCAUAAAAUAAUGAACUUUUCCACAAAUAUGAAUGAUAAGAGGAAGUCAUUUACAUUCACAUGAAUCCACACAUAUCUAUGGCAAAAAAAAAAAGUAGAGGGAACAUUAACAAACACACACACACACACACACACACACACCAUCCCCACCCCAUGCCAACAAAUCUCCUAGGCUCUGAAGUUAUUUCUCAUUCAAAUCCAGCUACACUGGAUGCCUUUUUAUUCCUCAAACUCAUGCUGCGUAUCCCUGCCUUAGGGCAUUGCCCAAAUGACUAUUCCUUCUUUCUGACAUCCUGCAGGUCUCUGGGCAGCCUCCUUCAAGUGUUUGCUUAAAUAUCAACAAGAUCAAUCAAGAUGGACUUUAUGAGGUUUGUCUGAACAACUGAGGGAAAGGAGCUAUCGUUAACUGCAGUGUUGUUAAAAAAAAGAGGAUGAAUUUGGAGAUGCAUUAUGAUGACUAUGUAUUUAUAAUGGGAAGGAGAACUGGAGAAGUGGAGCAUUUCAAAGUCAAAAUCGCAAAAAUGAGGACUCCGAUGUGCCCUUUGCACAUUCAUGCUACAUAAGGUACACCCAUCUUUAUUGUGCAUAAAUCAAGGGUGACAGAUUUAAAUGCUUACCUGCAGGAGCAAAUCUAAGAAAACACCUAGGCAUAAAGUGAAUGAUCACUGUACUGGGUAUUUCACUCAGUGUCCACAAGAUGAUUUGGAGUCUAUAUAUAUGCAAGACCAGUAUUACCAAAUUCUUCCAGUUUCUCAGGAGAAGCUGAAAAUUCAUAUUUUUAAUGUAAAAUAUUCUUAUUUUUAAAGGUUGGCAGGCAAUUCAAGAAUUUUUUAAUAUUGCAAUCCAAACAAAAGAUUAUGUGUUAAAGUUAUAUUUUUAUAUUCCAGUGCAGAAAUAAUUUAAGGUUUAGUUAUAUCAUAGAUAAUAUGAUUUGCUGGAAUUUAAUAAACACUAUUCCAAAACUUUAUUUCAUAAAGUUGAAAUAGAAUUCUCACUGUCCAGAAACUUGUGGUCUUGUCAGUUGAAAUUAUUUUUGUUUUGUUUUUAAUGCUCCUUGAGCUAGGUUGAUUGGAAUAAUUUGUUGUUGCUAAGAAAAUCUUAUUUAAUUUAAUUUUGACUGACAAGGCUUUAUUAAAAGUACCAGCAUGUAGUCUUUUGACUUGUUUUCAUUGGGGAGUGUGUCUUUGUGUAUGUAUUUGUGUGUAUGUGUGCAUGGUGGGUGCAGGGAUGGACAGGAUGGAAGGGAAGGAAACACCUGUGUCUCAGUCCUUUCAGGCUGCUCUAACAGAAUACUAUAGACUGGGUGACUUAUAAACAACAGACAUUUAUUUCUUACAGCUCUGGAGGCUGAGAGUCCAAGAUCAAGGUGUGGCAGAUUCAGCAUCUGGUGAGAACCUGCUUCCUGGUUCAUAGACAGCACCUUCCUGCUGUGUCUUCACAUGAUGGAAGGGACGAGGGUGCUCUCUCUCUGUGGUCUUUUAUACGGAAACUAAUCCCAUUCAUGGGGCUCCACCCUCGUGACCUCAUCACCUCCCAAAGGCUCCACCUAACAUCAUCUGCAUGGGGAGGUUAGAACUUCAACAUACGAAUGUUGAGGGGACCCAAACAUUCAGCCCAACUUACUCAGUUCUCUCUCUCUCAGGUUAUUACUAAGGAGACACUACACAUCACCUCAUUAUACAGCCAGAAUAUUCACACAAGGGGGUUGUUCCCAGAAGAGUGCAUAUAACAUGCCCCAUUUACAUGAGCAAUGCAUGAUACACAUACACAUAUGUCUCCUUGAAUAUACAUUUAUAUUUCCAGAAAGCACUCGUAAGCUGCUAACAAUUUCUGAGGAGGGUGGAUCUAGAUUACUUUUGAUUGUCUUGUUUUACUAUUAGUUUUAUUUGUUUAUUUAUUUAUUUUAGAGACAGGCUCUCACUGCACCAGGCCGGAGUGCAGUGGUGUGAUAAUAGGGGCAGCUUCGAACUCUUGGGCCCAGGCAAUCGUCCCGCCUCAGCCUCCUGAGUAGCUGGGACUAUGAGGUCUUUAUAUGUUGCCCAGGCUGAUCUCAAAUUCCUGGUCUCAAGCAGUCCUCCCACCUCAGCCUCCCAAAGUGCUGGGUUACAGAUGUGAGCCACCAUGCCCAGCCCCACUAUUUUUUUUUA
rnacentral:lncRNA from 10 species